UUCCGUAGGUGAACGUGCGGAGGGAUCAUUACACAAAUAUGAAAGCCCGCGGGAACCUCUCGGGGUUACAGCCUUGAUGAAUUAUUCACCCUUGUCUUUUGCGUACUUCUUGUUUCCUUGGGGGGUUCGCCCACCACUAGGACAAACAUAAACCUUUUGUAAUUGCAAUCAGCGUCAGUAACAAAUUAAUAAUUACAACUUUCAACAACGGAUCUCUUGGUUCUGGCAUCGAUGAAGAACGCAGCGAAAUGCGAUAAGUAGUGUGAAUUGCAGAAUUCAGUGAAUCAUCGAAUCUUUGAACGCACAUUGCGCCCUUUGGUAUUCCAAAGGGCAUGCCUGUUCGAGCGUCAUUUGUACCCUCAAGCUUUGCUUGGUGUUGGGCGUCUUGUCUCUAGCUUUGCUGGAGACUCGCCUUAAAGUAAUUGGCAGCCGGCCUACUGGUUUCGGAGCGCAGCACAAGUCGCACUCUCUAUCAGCAAAGGUCUAGCAUCCAUUAAGCCUUUUUUUCAACUUUUGAAACCCCAUCAGGUAGGGAUACCCGCUGAACUUAAGCAUAUCAAUAGCGGGAGGAAA
rnacentral:rRNA from 1 species